rnacentral:lncRNA from 1 species
AGACCAUUCAAAUGGCAAGAGAAUAUGGUAUCAAAGAAUUUGUUAUCAUAACUGAUUCCAACUAUGUUCGCAACAGUUUUGUUGAAUAUCUGCCUAGCUGGAAACGUAACCAAAUGCUGAAAAGCAAUAACAAACCUGUUAAACAUGGGAAAUUGUUUUGUAAAAUCGAUGAGUUGGUUAAGGAAAAUGGUUUAACCAUAUAUUGGAAGAAAACCAAAGGCCAUUCUAAAGUAGAAGGUAUUGACAAGGAUGGUAAUGACUUAGCCGAUUCACUGGCAAAACAAGCAGCCAUCAAUGGUGAAACCCUAAACAUUGAUGAUCCUAUGGGUUCAAUCCAUGUUGAAGCCAUAACUAGACGACAGGCUAGAGAUAAUGUCGACUUAAACAUCGUGCAAUGGAGUCAAGAAGCUCCUAGUGAG